rnacentral:rRNA from 1 species
UGAGGAAUCUUGGGCAAUGGGGGCAACCCUGACCCAGCUAUGCCGCGUGCGGGAGGACGCCCUUCGGGGUGUAAACCGCUUUUGAGGGGGAGGAGCAAGGACAGUACCCCUCGAACAAGUCACGGCUAACUACGUGCCAGCAGCCGCGGUAAUACGUAGGUGGCGAACGUUAUCCGGAAUCACUGGGCGUAAAGGGUCCGUAGGCGGAACGACAAGUCGGACGUGACAAGGCGCGGCUCACCCGCGCGAGGUCGUUCGAAACUGUCGCUCUAGAAUCGGUGCGAGGUCGGUGGAAUUCCCGGUGUAGUGGUGGAAUGCGUAGAGAUCGGGAAGAACCUCAACGGCGCAGGCAGCCGGCUAGUGCCAGAUUGACGCUGAGGGACGAAAGCGUGGGGAGCGAACAGG